rnacentral:rRNA from 1 species
AGAGUAGGUGAGAGGGAAGUAGAAUUUCAGGUGUAGCGGUGAAAUGCGUAGAGAUCUGGAGGAAUACCGAUGGCGAAGGCAGCUUCCUGGCAUCAUACUGACACUGAGGCUCGAAAGCGUGGGUAGCAAACAGGAUUAGAUACCCUGGUAGUCCACGCCGUAAACGAUGUCUACUAGUCGUUGGGUCCCUUGAGGACUUAGUGACGCAGCUAACGCAAUAAGUAGACCGCCUGGGGAGUACGGCCGCAAGGUUAAAACUCAAAUGAAUUGACGGGGGCCCGCACAAGCGGUGGAGCAUGUGGUUUAAUUCGAUGCAACGCGAAGAACCUUACCUGGUCUUGACAUACACAGAAUCUUGUAGAGAUACGAGAGUGCCUUCGGGAAUUGUGAUACAGGUGCUGCAUGGCUGUCGUCAGCUCGUGUCGUGAGAUGUUGGGUUAAGUCCCGCAACGAGCGCAACCCUUGUCCUUAGUUACCAGCGGGUUAAGCCGGGAACUCUAAGGAUACUGCCAGUGACAAACUGGAGGAAGGCGGGGACGACGUCAAGUCAUCAUGGCCCUUACGACCAGGGCUCCACACGUGCUCCAAUGGUAGGUACAGAGGGCAGCUACACAGCGAUGUGAUGCGAAUCUCAAAAAGCCUAUGGUAGUCCAGAUUGGAGUCUGCAACUGGACUCCAUGAAGUAGGAAUCGCUAGUAAUCGCGGAUCAGAAUGCCGCGGUGAAUACGUUCCCGGCCCUUGUACACACCGCCCGUCACACCAUGGGAGUUGAUUGCACACAGAAGUGGUUAGCCUAACUUAGUGAGGGCG